UUAAAUCAAGGGAUACCAAAUGGAAGCGAAGAAAAAGACAUGCUGCUGUGGUGCUGAUCCGCCAGAACUACGUCCACAUAGACGUUAUAGUGAGCAGACGGAUCCAGAACGCUGAUGUUGAAGCUCAGGAAGGGGAACAUCCUCCUGGAUAAACACAGAGGUAAACAUAAUUAAUUUUUCGAAUAUCA